AUUGAACGCUGGCGGCAGGCCUAACACAUGCAAGUCGAGCGGAUGAGUGGAGCUUGCUCCAUGAUUCAGCGGCGGACGGGUGAGUAAGGCCUAGGAAUCUGCCUGGUAGUGGGGGACAACGUUUCGAAAGGAACGCUAAUACCGCAUACGUCCUACGGGAGAAAGCAGGGGACAUUCGGGCCUUGCGCUAUCAGAUGAGCCUAGGUCGGAUUAGCUAGUAGGUGAGGUAAAGGCUCGCCUAGGCGACGAUCCGUAACUGGUCUGAGAGGAUGAUCAGUCACACUGGAACUGAGACACGGUCCAGACUCCUACGGGAGGCAGCAGUGGGGAAUAUUGGACAGUGGGCGAAAGCCUGAUCCAGCCAUGCCGCGUGUGUGAAGAAGGUCUUCGGAUUGUAAAGCACUUUAAGUUGGGAGGAAGGGCAGUGAGCUAAUACCUUGCUGUUUUGAUGUUACCAACAGAAUAAGCACCGGCUAACUUCGUGCCAGCCGCCGCAGUAACAC
rnacentral:rRNA from 1 species